rnacentral:tRNA from 1 species
UAAGGGUUAGUUUAAGAAAGAAUUGUUGAUUGUUGAUCGAGGGGUUUACUCUUAG